rnacentral:lncRNA from 1 species
AGCGGAUUUCCGCUUACAUGUUAUGCGAGCGGAUACUGGGCCUACCAGAAGUGAAAGUGGCAACUCUAAAUUCGUCCUGUGCUGCAAUAAUGUCCUUGGUUUGUUGUCGCGUGUUUAGUGCUAUUUAGUUAUGAUACUGAUUUGUAAUGACUAUUUUAUUAUUUGAUAUUGAUCGGUACCAAUGUUUCUUUAGUUAUGUGUCAUAUUUCUUAUCCGAAGAGUUUUAGACUUCCUGUAAUGAUUUCGUCCAAUGAUGUAGCUGCGCGCCACGCGAGAGCCAAUCAGGUAACCGUUUAUUCUGACCAAUGAGAGAGCAGCCGAAUUUCCGUUGAGCCCCCGUCGCGUCCAGAGCGGGAAUUCGGUGCGCCGCGACAUGGCGAGGAUCGAGAUGUGCUUGGAUUGCGCCUGCUUGAACGGGCGUUUCAGUUUGUUUGUUUGUCUGCUGAAUACACGCUUGGUUGGCUCCGA